rnacentral:sRNA from 1 species
UAAAUUUUGAUAUUUGGGUUUCAAAAACCUUCAAAGAAGAUUUCAAAUGCCGAUUAACUUCUCUGUUGUAGCAAUUUCAAAGUUUUUUCGUUUUGAAACUUUAAAAGUAAAUAGAUUGUUGUUUGGGUUUGUGUUUUAAUUUAUAGAUCCUCACUUAAUUUAUGGGUUACCAGUUGAUUGGAGUUGGUUUGGAAAAGGGUUUUUUGUUUCUAUUUUCAGCGGUUGUGUUCUUUGAAAAGGAUUAAAAUUUUGUUUUUGGAAUGGUUUCAAAACGGUCUUUAAAAAGGAUUAUGGAGUAAUGACUAU